CACUCACGACAUGGGUGAGAUUGAAAUUGAAGAACAAAAAGAAAGCAGAAAGAUGAUAAACAUAUCGACACAAUCCCAAUUUCGAACUUGUGCCUUGCUUGGUUCUGUUUCGUUAUUCGACCUCCUCCUUCUUAAGAGGUGUAUU
rnacentral:ribozyme from 1 species